rnacentral:misc_RNA from 1 species
ACGCCGUUCGAGCCCCUCUGAUGGGCUCGGUGUUGGGGCGCUAGGGGGCGGUUUCUCGCGAAGCCCCCCCUAGGCCCCCAAGCAGAAGUGCGCGGUCUGGCUGCGGACCCCGGGUACAGUAACUUCACCGUUAGAUGCCCUGGGAGAAGCAGCUGGGCCUGCCGUAAAACCCCCGACAUAGGGACCCCCGGGCCACGCGCAAGCGGGCGAGGGAGGGACCGCCAUAUG